rnacentral:rRNA from 1 species
GCAAGAUUAAAACUCAAAGGAAUAGACGGGGACCCGCACAAGCGGUGGGGCAUGUGGUUUAAUUCGACGAUACGCGAAGAACCUUACCUGGCCUUGACAUAGACAGAAGUUUGCAGAGACGCAGAUGUGCUAGUUUACUAGAACUGUCAUACAGGUGCUGCACGGCUGUCGUCAGCUCGUGUCGUGAGAUGUUGGGUUAAGUCCCGCAACGAGCGCAACCCUCGUGUUUAGUUACUAACAGUUCGGCUGAGGACUCUAAACAGACUGCCUGGGUAACCAGGAGGAAGGUGAGGACGACGUCAAGUCAUCAUGGCCCUUACGGCCAGGGCUACACACGUGCUACAAUGGGGUAUACAAAGAGCUGCAAUACGGUGACGUGGAGCAAAUCUCAUAAAAUAUCUCCCAGUUCGGAUUGAAGUCUGCAACUCGACUUCAUGAAGUUGGAAUCGCUAGUAAUCGUAGAUCAGCAAUGCUACGGUGAAUACGUUCCCGGGUCUUGUACUCACCGCCCGUCACACCAUGGGAAUUGAAUUCAUUCGAAGCGGGGAUGCUAAAAUAGCUACCUUCCACAGUGGAUUUAGUAACUAGGGUGAAGUCGUAACAAGGUA